UGAAGUUUUAUAUAUUUUAAUAUGGCUCUUC
rnacentral:piRNA from 1 species